CAGGAGAAUACAUUUACGAUGUCCCUGUCACUGAUGUUUUUCAAGCAGGCCACAUGGAUGGACCCCCAGGAUCGUCUUUGGCCAAUGUGAACUCUCUGAAGGAAGGGUAUGGAGUUGAUCCUCGCACUGAUCUCUAAGCGCUAACUGACCCUUCUCCGGUUUCUUGAAACGGGGAGGAACUUCCUGAUGAAACUAUUUCCGAGUUUUGGAUGCUUGCUAAAUUUGCUUCUGAUCUCGAUAAAG
rnacentral:misc_RNA from 1 species